CUGCAGUCCAGCAUUGCUGUGAAAUCUUCUAGAGGUUCAGACAGUCCAAAGCAAGGAAGAAACAGGUAGCGGUUUGGCGUGGGAGAAAGAAGGCAUUUCCCACCACGGUCUCCUCUCUCACAUCCCCGCCAUCUGUCUCUCUGCAGUCAACAGCAUCCCUCGCCCUGGGAUUGCUCCACAAUCCCCAAACUCCAGCUCCCAGCUGCUGAGCCUUCCAGAGGAUCAGCUCCUGUCCGGGAGUGGUAAGAAAAACACACCAGAGAGACAUACAGUUUGCGCCGACCAGUCUGACUGAAGCAUCGAAGAGCACUCUGUGAGCCUAGUACAUGGCCUAGAAUAUGCUGAUUUCUCAGUAACUACCUGGUUGAAUGGAUGCCUAAAACAUCCUAAAGUUUUAUAAUAAUCCAGCUUGAAGUGCUUUGAUUAUUUUGUCUUUUUGGUUUUUAAUCAUGUCUCUUCUGGAACUUUCUUCUUUCCUAAAGCAACAUGUCCAAACCUAUAUACAAUAUAUACAGACACUUUGGCACGAGGAUAGAAAAAUAUUUUCUAUGUUUCUAACAAUCUUUCUUGUAAAAGUCAGAGCUAGUCUUGCGGGUGCAGCA